CUUCAAGAAGAGAGAGUGGAAGCGAAAGCAAGGGAAAAUGAAUUGCCAUUGGUAUCCAGGAAUAACUGGCCCCCUGAAGUGGUGUUGGCACCCCCCUCUGCAGUGGAAUGACCCUUGACUUACCCAUGGGUCAUAUAAAAAUCCAUAAUGCGGGCCCAAGUCUGUUCUCAUCUCAUACAAAGCUGCUGAUGCUUGAGGAAUUCCAGAAGCAUUUUUGAAUGGGUAUAACAUUUCAUCACUGUUACUGUCAAAGAUAGUUUCAUCCAUGUCACCAUGUACAGGUAAAUUUCUGCCUAAUUUUAGGAAAUUUCUCCAUGAGUGAAUGCAUUGCACAGGCAUUAUUAAAGUACCUUGAUCCAGAACACACAUUUAUGUGAGUGUUCCUAUUUACUCCAGCAGAGCAUGAAAGCUUUGCACACUCUACAAUCCAUUUGUUCACAUGAACUUGUCAUUCUAUUGUUGAAUUCCCCACCCUCCUUAUUUCUGUGGAACAUAUAAUUUGCCAUUUGGUUAUUAUAAUGAUCUAGAAUGUUGUUUUGACAGUGUGAUUUUUGAAAACCUGGAUAUGAAAAGAACAAAACAAAAUGACAUCUCUCUAGAAGAUUGUAGCCAAAAUCUUACCUCAGGAGAAUAGGACAUCCAAAUGAGGUUUUAACAAACACUUAUUAUUUUCAAAGGGUGAAAGCUAGCUUUGUUUGUUUGUGCAUGUUUUUUUCUAUAUGGCAUUCAACACCAAUAGAUAAUGAAUACACACAGAGUUCAUAGUCUCCUAAAGCUUUAGUAGGCUGACAGUAUAAUAGGUACAGCUGUUUUGACCAGAGAUCUUUCCAUACAAUAGUGUCACUUAUUUUUUUGUUUUCCUUCAUUAAUCUCAACACCAUUGUUUUUCUUUUGCAUUCUUCUAUAUCUCCAAUUGCCAGUGACCAAAGAAAUUCUGACCAAUGAAAUUCUUGUUACUUCAUAAUGGAUGUCCCCUUCACUAAAACAUAUUUCAUAGAAAGGGAAGUUAUGUUGUGAAAGACCGCCAUGGUGUGGGAACAUGACUGCAAGAACUGCAUGGAAAGCUUUCCCCCUUCAUUCAAGUACAGGAUACAACUAUGAAAUGACAGGAAAGCAGCUUGAAUAGGUUUAUUUGGCUACAUCACAGUGUAGGAUCAGAUAAGUACAUUUUCUUGUCUCAUAAAGGAGUGGGCAGUCCGCAAUAAGUUGAUGCAUCAGCUUAAAGGUUGUCCUGCUAACUUUCUUAGGCUCCUUCCAUACAACUGUAUAAAAUCCACAUUCAACUGGAUUAUAUGGCAGUGUGGAUUCAGAUAACCCAGUUCAAAGCAGAUA
rnacentral:lncRNA from 1 species